rnacentral:lncRNA from 1 species
UUUUUUUCCCAUUAUCAGUGUACAUUAAAAAACAUAUAAUAGCACUGUAUAAGUGUGGUUCCUAGAUCUCCAGCAUCUAGGAACUUGAUAAAAAUCAACUUUUCAUACUUAUACCUAAUAAGCCAGAAACACUAAGGUCAGGACCCAGAAAACUGGGUUUAAAAAGCCCUCAGGUGAUUCUUAUCCACACUAAAUUUAAACAAAUCACUGACUAACCAAAGCUAUCUAGAAAUAUAGUCCUUUAUUGAUUCUAAUAAUUUAGCAAGAACAGAUAUUUAAUCAGCACACUUCGCUACUUAAAACAAUCUCAGUAAAAAGACAAUAUUACCUAUUUAUGGUAAUCUCAAGAAAAGGUAUAGAAGCUAACAUGGGAAAGGUAGCCGACAUUCUUUCUCUGAAGUAAAACAGAAACUUCCAUGUAAAUGAUAAUUCUGACUCCUGACAGACACCCCCUCUUGUCCCACAAUUCAACCCGUGCAAGUUUUCAUUAUUUCCAACAAAUGAAACAAUCGUAACAUUACUCUCAAUUUACCUGUCUCCCUUCAUACAACUCAAGAACAUGUUCCAACCACAUUAAAAUUUGCUUACUGGCCAGGCGUGGUGGCUCACACCUGUAAUCCCAGCACUUUGUGAGGCCGAGGCAGGCAGAUCACCUGAGGUCAGGAGUUCCAAGACCAGCCUGGCCAAUGUAGUGAAACACUGUCUCUAUUAAUUAAAAACAAACAAACAAACAAAAAAAAACUAGCCAGGCGUGGUGGCGAUCGCCUGUAAUCCCAGCUCCUCGGGAGGCGGAGGCAAGAGAAUUGCUUGAACUUGGGAGUCGGAGGUUGCAUGACUUAUGUUAAUGCCACUGAACUCCAGCCUGGGCUGUGAGAUACUGUCUCACUUUACAAAUAUUAGCAAUGCUGCCUCAUUCAUUCACUUAAUAUUUCUUCAACAUCUGUUGUGUGAUGGGCUCUGUGCAAGUCGAUCAACUGCACACAGCUGAAGAAAAAAACACAUAAACAAAAUCAACUGUUCUAAAAUACCAACAGUAUUCAUUUAAAGGCAUGUACUAUACUCACUGUGUUCCACAAUAUAUGCUCCAUAAAUAUAAUUCCUCCUCUUUUCUGGACAUCACUUAGAACCCUAGAACUCUGGCGCUUUUUUUUUUUAAUCCGAGAGGUGGUAGUCUCAUUUUCACACAUCCUUGUUUCCAUCUCAACAAGUGCCUGUGCCUUCUGUGGUCCAAGGAUAAGUUUCCUUUUAGCUUUCAACAACGUACAACAUGUAGGAAAAAAAAGGAAUUCAGAAUAUCUAUACAAAUAAAAAAGAGUAUCUGAGCAACUAGCAAAGUGCAAUACUACAUCUGCCAUUUUUAAGUAUUCAAAGUUUUCACAACACUUUCUGCAGAAAAUCUUGAAAUCGAAAAGUCUAAUGAGGCACACUGACUGGAUUUCAGAGUGUCAUUUUUAAGCUCAAAUUUUGAAAUCAUUAUGUUCAGACAAGGUCCUGUGUCAUCAUGAACC